rnacentral:rRNA from 1 species
CGCGACCCCAGUCACGUCCGUAGGA